UACGAAGAGGGCUAGCGUUGCUCGGAAUCACUGGGCGUAAAGGGUGCGUAGGCGGGUCUUUAAGUCAGGGGUGAAAUCCUGGAGCUCAACUCCAGAACUGCCUUUGAUACUGAAGAUCUUGAGUUCGGGAGAGGUGAGUGGAACUGCGAGUGUAGAGGUGAAAUUCGUAGAUAUUCGCAAGAACACCAGUGGCGAAGGCGGCUCACUGGCCCGAUACUGACGCUGAGGCACGAAAGCGUGGGGAGCAAACAGGG
rnacentral:rRNA from 1 species